rnacentral:misc_RNA from 1 species
GGAAUUUAAUGUUUUUAUAUAAUUAUUAAGAUUUCCAGAGUGGCAACAUGAUGUCAUGUUACGCCGUGUGGCAACAUGUCAAGCUGAAAACGUUACUUGGAGUCUUCAUUUAUAAGCCUUGCAUUAAUCCUAAUAAUAAAGCAUAUGGAGUUCCACCUCGAGAAUUUGGGAUGUAUUGAACUGCUGUUGAGGUUGGGAUCUGAUCCUAACACAAGAGACUUACAAGGACAUACACCUCUAAUGGACGCAUGCCGCUCCAAUCCGCAAGCUGUUCCCUUAUUACUAAGUUAUGGAGCUGAUGUUAAUGCUGUAAAUUUAGAAGAUUUUACUUCUUUGCAUUAUGCAGUUAUGGAGGGAAACCUUGAAAUUGUGCAGCUCCUAAUCCAGCAUGGAGCUGAUGUGUGUGUUCCUCUUGGAUGUAAACCACCACCACUCCAUUUUGCUGUUGUCCAAGGCAGUGUGGAAAUUCUAGAAUUUCUUUUAAAUUCCGGGGCUGACAUCAAUGCAGUGUCGAAUAUGUGUGGUACAGCUCUGCAUCUUGCUCUCACUAAAAUAACUGGAAAUCAGCUAGAAUUGGUCAAAACUCUUCUACAACGUGGAGCCAACCCGAAUGCAAUUACCGUAUCUGAUAACACACGUGUUUUUAAGCCCCCAAUUGAAGAAUAUCUGAAAUGCUGCGAACAUCUUCAACCUGAAAUAAUUCAGUUGCUUCUGAGAUGACCGUAUGUCCGAUUUUUCUACUGACAGACAGAUUUCCGAAUCCAAUUCCAGUCUUGUUUUUUUAACAAGAUUCUUUUGUUUCAAAUUUAAAGCCUAACCUGAGCCUGUAUCCCUAUACAUCUCGAAAAACAGUUGACGAGUACUUGCAGUGACUAUUCGUAAUAUAUUAUAGAAUAUUUCAAGCUAGGUAUGGAGCUCGUAUAGUGCUGAAAGAAAAGAGAGAUCAUCCACUUGGAAUCAUAAAAGUUAUCCACAGGAUACACUUAGGUUUGAAUCCUGAAGUAAUGGCUUUGUUAAUUGAGGCUUGUGAAGAAUUCGACGUA